rnacentral:rRNA from 1 species
UACGUAGGGUGCAAGCGUUAAUCGGAAUUACUGGGCGUAAAGCGUGCGCAGGCGGUUGUGCAAGACCGAUGUGAAAUCCCCGGGCUUAACCUGGGAAUGGCAUUGGUGACUGUACGGCUAGAGUGUGUCAGAGGGGGGGUAGAAUUCCACGUGUAGCAGUGAAAUUCGUAGAUAUUGGGAAGAACACCGGUGGCGAAGGCGGCUACUCUGGACCGAGACUGACGCUGAGGCGCGAAAGCGUGGGGAGCAAACAGG